CGCUGUUCAGCUCGUAGCCAUUGAGGCUGGGGCUCAUCCCGGCUGUGCCGAAGAGGCCACCCAUGUGAGUCUGUCCCACGUGGCUGCCGGGCCCGGAGACUCCAAGGAACUCGGAGACGCCGCCGGCCGCAUGGGGUGCCACUGCCUCAGACAUCUGCUGCAGACCUGGAUGAGCUGAAAGAGCCUCAAGCAGUUGCUGGUACCAAGCAGAAGCUCUUUCUGGGCUCUGCAGCCCCAGACAUGGAAGUGGAGAAGACAGGAAUGGGAUGUACAUGGUGCAUAGGACCUGCAUGAACACAGCACCCCCUGUGCAACCUUGCAGGUUUGUCGCUGAGCCAUAGGAACCUCUUCCUGGCUAUGUCUCUGCACAGAGCUUAUGCAUGGCUCCCACUUUGGAAAACAGGGAUGUGCAGUAUCUUAUUAGUACAUGGAAACAAGGGGCAAGGUUGUGGGGAGUAGACAGGAAAAUGUUGCACUGCAUCAGAGGGGGAAUUAGCUUUGACAUUGUCAGACACCAGUACAGAUGGCUGAAAACUGAGGCAGGCAAGGAAAUGGAGCAGGAGAGGGGCCAGGCAUGGAAUGCCACUGCUUCACAGACAGUAUGGUCCACCUCAUGUAUGCUGCUGGCAUGGGCUCUUACCCAGACACCAAAAUCUCCGGCAGCUACUUCACUAAUGAAGCAUGAGCUUGGGAAAGGGAUGGAAAAAUCAGAGCUGCAGAGCCUGUCUGGGCUCUGCAUCUGCUCCUGCCUGCAGGGCAGCUGGUUAUGCUCCCCAGGAAGCCAAGCCUGGCCAGAGGGGAUGACCUCCAGCCGAAAGCUGUAAUAGGGAGGAUCACACCUUAAACCUGUGCCUUGCCUUUCUGCCAUCUUGCUUUUCUUAGUUCAGCUUUGCAGGCAGCUGAAGUUGGCCUCCAAAAAAUCAUUCCAGGGCAGGAUUAUCCCUUAGAUGACCAUAUCUUCCUUGGGAGAGGGGCUACUGAGCUUCCCUCAAAGCCCAUGGGGCUGCAGCAGGUGUGUGCCCAAACACCCCACAGCAGCCAGAGCCUUUCCCUGUGCAAUGGAAGGUGCCUGAGUAGCUAGUAGCUCUUUGGCUUGUAGGGGAAAAAUAGUGAGGGGCUGGUGUCUAAUUUGUGAUUUCCACCCUCCAGCCCCUGGUUCUUGGUCCUUGCAGUAGGCAUUUGCUUCACCAUCAGCCUCCUGAGCUGCAGCCCCAUGCCUGUACCCACUCUUGGGCUGUGAGCUAAUGGCCCUUGAUGCCACGCUGCUGGUAUUGGAAGACCCCACAGAGCAGAACUGCCCAGGGGUGGGAGACCAAAAACAAGGCUAAACAAGGCUACACAAGCUAUGGAACAACCCAGAGGUGGAGACAGGCACUAGGUUGAUUCACUAAGGCUUUAGUCUCCAGGAGCCUCCCUCAUGGGAAGAGCAGCCCUGUGCCACCUCAGACUGCACCUCCGUGCCACUGCCAUGCCAAGGCCACGCAGCUCCCUAACCAGCAGCUCAGCCCCUGGGAACACAUCUGAGAUAGCAGCACCUGGGCUGCCUCUGGGCCUGCCCAGCCUGCACCUGCUGCUCUGGGCACCAGCCUGCUGUCCCUGCUCUCCAGUGACAGGAGUGUGCUGUGCUGCUGACAGCACGGCAGGCCCGCACCACGAGGUGCUGGCCUGGUGCCAGCCCACGGCCCAGCUCACCGGGUCCUUCCCAGCCGAGGCAGGGAAUGACUGAAAUGCAAGUGCUUCCCCCUUUCACCAUGGGGUAAGUGUGUGAGCAGCCAGGCCACUCAGACAAGCCCUUCAGCAGCUCUGUCCCACGAGCCCUGUCAUCGCCAUCCCAAGUGAGAGGUGGCACUGGCAGCCAGGCUGUUCUUGGCUGCCUGUGGCAACAGGCCACUGGCACGCUUAUCUCAGAGAGAGCUGAAAUUCCUCUUUGCCAAAUAUACUCCUGGCUACCUAGGGAGCUCUUCUGCCCUCGGCUGAAGUGUGAUCCAGUAGUAAAGUGGGGCAAAACCCCAAAAUGAAAGGUUGUAUGUAAGGAAUGUGUAGAUUGCAUCUGCCUCACCUGCCCUGGCUCUGAUGGACAGCCCUUCACACUGCCUGGGACGACACAGUAGCUGCAAACCCUGGCUCAGAAGGGAGCAGGAGGAGCUCACCACCCUCCAGCACCUCAUUCUCAUUCCUGAGCUGAAGGAAUGUCAUGCACUGUGCAGCCAGUAACCCGAUGCUAUGCCUGGCCUCCCAGGAGACCCCAUUAGCACUUGUGGUGUGUUCUUGGGAAAUGAAGAGCUACAUGCAGUGGCACAAGUGAAGAGCUGAUGUUUGUAGCACUGCCUUGUUCUGCCCACCCCGUGGUGCUCAGCAUGCUGGGCCAAUGGGAAUCACACUGCUGCCUGCUGAAACACAGCCAUGUCCAGCCUGAAGAGAAACAGCUGUGAGGAGGAAGAGCACACCAGCCCUGAAAACCAGUUCAGGCAAGCACUCAAGAAAAGUUCUGCUUCUGGUUGAAUUCAGAAGUGAAUGUACAAACUAAAAUGGACUUAAGCAUGGAUGUGGACUUUAUUUGCAACAACUACUCAUAAAGAUUAAAGCAGAGGCUGCCUGGGAGGUGGGAAUAUUCCUGGUAUUAAAGAUAGAAUUAGGUGU